GCAGGCCCCGCACGCGAAACCCACGCCCCCAUUCGCACUGCCGCCUCCGCGCGCUCACACUCGCCAGGCACGCGCGCCGCACCUCCUCGCCGUUUCCGCGUUUCCUUCCACAACGGCGACCCCGAUGCCACGGCCGGAUGCCAAAACCGGCAACCCGGAGCGCGCGCCGUCGCAUAUAAGGAUGCCCCGUUUCCCUAGCCCUAGCCCCAGCCCGCGCCUCCUCCGACCCUCACCCGCCGCCGUCUCUCGAAACCCUACCCCACUCCGGCGGAUAGAUCCGGCACGUCCUGCCCUCUCCGCCGCCAGUCGCCAGAGAUGGCCGCCCGCAACUCAUCCGCGUUCGCCUCCGACGCGGUCCACCAGGCUGCCAUGGCCGUCCCCAAGUCGCCCGUGCUAGACGCCGACCCGCUCCACCAGGCCGCCGCGUCGGGGGGAAUUGACGGCGUUCCUGGAGCGCUCCCGACCGAGCAAGGGUCUUUGACGGCGCUGCCGCCCCUGCAAGCAGCGCCGGAGAUGGCCCUGCAGCAGCGCGCCACGUACAUAACGGAGCCGCCCCCGCCGCAAGGCACGCCUGUGAUGAAGACGGCCCCGCAGCAGGGCGCGUACAUGGCGGCGCCGACGCCCCCGCAAGGGCCCCCCGUGACGCAUCUGGUGAUGCAAGGGGCAAACACGGUGGUGCCGAUUUCCCUGCGGGAGCCGGUCAUUACCGUGCCCCCGCAAGGCAGACCUGUGAUGGCACCUCUGCCUUUCCCUGCCGGUCCUCCAUCCUUCAUCCAUGAUGCCGGAUACAUGAUGGGGCAAUCACUGUUGCCUGCCGGCCCUCAACCCAUGACGGGGCUGCAGCCUCCACCUGCCGGAUACAUGAUGGGGCACCCGCUGUUGCGUGCCAGCCCUUUGCCGAUGACGGCGCUGCAUCUCCCACAGGCUGUACACAUGAUGGCACGGCCGCCUUUGCCCGCUGGCCCCCCUCCUCUCAAGCGUCACCGCCCUGACUACUUCGACAUGCCUUUUGGACCGCGGAUGACUGGUUGUGAGCAGGAAAUGGCUGGAUUUGAUGAAUCAAUGGGACUGCCUUAUGGGCCUUACAUAAACAAUGAGAUGCCUUCUAUUGGUUCUUAUGAACCAUAUCUUCCUUCAGAAGCAUCAAACACCCUACAUGUUGAAGGUUUCCCACCCAAAUGUACUAGAUGGGAACUUGCACAUAUAUUUCGCCCUUUUACUGGGUUCUGUGCAGUAAGGCUGGUCAACACAGGAUAUAAUAGUCGACAUGUAAUAGCUUAUGCUGACUUUGAAACUCCUGCCCAAGCCUUCUCUGCCAUGAAGUCUCUGCAAGGUUAUUUGUUUGACAUGCAUGACCGGUACUCAGUCAAAUUGGACCUCCAGUUCCUUCCUGGUCCGUCCAAGGCAUCACGUUCAAGAUCAUAUUUCUCUGAAAUGCGUUGAAAGGAUUCUGAAGAUAUUGUCGUUGGUGAUGUUAGAGUCGCUGAAGAGCUCAUUGCGUUAGACAUUGCUAUUCAUCCAAGACAUGAGAAGCAAAUGAGACCACAUCAGUUGGCAGGUGAAAUACAGAGCUCGAUGCCAAAAAUAAAGAUACCUAGUAAACCUAGGAGAAAGAAUUGAUGAAUAAGGUGCCUAUUUGUUCAUCAAUUACUAUGCUUGUGUUAAACAAUUAGUGGGUUGACUACUACAUAAUGGCCGCUGCAUUUUAUGAUCAUUAUAGUUCUCCACAGGCAUGUAUUACCGCAGAAAAAGAAAGCCUUCCGACCCCAUCAAUAAUCUUUCACUUACUGCAAAAUGCAAAUACGAUUCGCAGUUGGGGAUGUGGCAGUGUUACCGAGGAGUGGGACAGCUUGUAUCCUCAGAAGGUCCAAUUGUUAACUUUGCUUUCUACUCUGCCCGAGCCCGCUCUGAGUUAUGGGCCGAGUGUUAAAACUAAUAUGGCCAAUUCUAUCGAGCAAAGAGAACAGAAAAAGAGUGACAUAAUAAUUCUUCAUUCGGAUGAUGAUGAUGAAAGCACAGGAGCACACAAAUAACUGACGCCUGAGAAAAACAAACAGCUCACACCUGAGAAAAAUAAACAGCUGAUACCAUCAGAACAGGCUGGUUCUCUCAUGAGAGGUAACCGAAGAAAUUGAUGAAGUAAAUGAGACAAUGCAUGCUAGAGAUCAAAACAGUCAAAUUGUUCCAUAUAGUCCAACUGCAACUUCAAUGAAUCAGUAUCCUUCGGCCAGCUAUCAACCAUCAGCAGUUCUGUUUGAGAGAGUUUUAUUGCAGAAAAGACCUGAGGAGGAACGUAUCCAUGAUCUGGCUGUAUGUCGCUACCCAUAAGGAGAAAAUAGCAGAAACACAAGUUUUCCCUUCACUUCCUAAGGAGAGAAAAAUAAACGAAAAGUUGAUCCAAAUUCCCAAGUAGAUGGGGAUGUUGAAAUUGUGCCAAGAAAAAGAAAAAGAAAAAAUGAAGCAAAUCCAGCAGUAUUUGAUUUGCCCUCAGAACCUUACAAUCCUGUGGGGGAAGACGAGCCUAUGGAGGAAGAAAAUAUACAAGAAAAGGAAAGUGAUGAUCUUGAAGAUUUUUGGAAUGAGUACUCAGUGGCACUUGAAAGCUCUAAGCUCGACACACUUGAAGAGGCAUCCAAUGAGAAAGAGGUGAACAACGUCUGCAAUCAUGAAAUACAGAUUCAUGAAGAUCUGGGCCAUGUAUGCCGCGUCCGCGGUAUGAUUGUGAGAAGGCCUGACACAAUCAUUGAUUAUCAGUGGAGAAAGAUCAACUGCCUUUUGUAGUUCUGUAUGCUAAUGGGAAACCAUAAGAUGAAGGCCCUUGUGUUUCGCUGAGGCAUCAAGGUCAAGAUCAUAUUUCUGUGAAAUGCGUUGAAAGGAUUCUGACGAUAUUGUCAUUGGUGAUGUUAAGAGUCGCUGAAGAAUUCAUUGCGUUAGACAUUGCUAUUCAUCCAAGACAUGAAAAGCAAAUGAGACCACAUCAGUUGGCAGGUUUCCACUUUCUGGUUGUUUCAUGAGUAUUGUUCUUUGCUAUGCUGGAUACGGUCAUGGGUGUUAUUGUGGUGAUCUGUUUCCUGCUAGUACAUUGUUGUUUGCAAGCUUGUAUAUUUGUAGGCAUGUAUUACCGUUGAAAAAGAAAGCCUUCCGACCCCAUCAAUAAUCUCUCACUUACUGCAAAUACGAUUUGCGGUUGGGGAUGUGGCAGUGUUACCGAGGAGUGGGACAGCUUGUAUGCUCAGAAGGUCCAAUUGUUAACUUUGCUUUCUACUCUGCCCGAGCCCGCUCUGAGUUAUGGGCUGAGUGUUGAAACUAAUAUGGCCAAUUCUAUUGAGCAAAGAGAACAGAAAAAGAGUGACAUAAUAGUUCUUGAUUUGGAUGAUGAUGAUGAAAGCACAGGAGCACACAAACAACUGAUGCCUGAGAAAAACAAACAGCUCACACCUGAGAAAAAUAAACAGCUGAUACAUCAGAACAGGCUGGUGCUCUCAUGAGGGUGGUAAUCGAAGGAAUUGAUGAAGUAAAUGAGACAAUGCAUGAUGGAGACCAAAACAGUCAAAUUGUUCCAUAUAGUCCAAGUGCAACUUUAAUGAAUCAGUAUCCUUCGGCCAGCUAUCAACCAUUAGCAGUUCUGUUUGAGAGAGUUAUAUUGCAGAAAAGACCUGAGGAGGAACUUAUCCAUGAUCUAGCUGUGUGUACUUUUCACUUGCAACUUUUUACUGAACUACUCCAUGUAAUGUGGUCCUUAGACUUUUCCAGAAUCAUGUCGCAGAAGUGUUCAACAUCUUGAACCUUUUAUGCCCAAAGUUUCUGAAGAUAGCAGCAUAUAUCCUAUUGUUGAUAAUGAAUCAAGUAUCAAUAUCAGGUUGCAGAGUCAGUAGAAGAUGCCCUACUGCAUCAUGAUAACCACGAGAAAAGCACAUGCCAUUAGAAGUCUUCAGAGAACUAACAAAAGUCGUGCUUCACUACUACAGGGGUGAUAUCUUGGAUGAACUACCUGACCUAGUAGACUUCAGUGUCUUCAGAAAGAAAUCGUUCAUAAGUUGGAAGCCUAUGAGAAGUAAAGAAAACGCAGUAGGAACUGCCCUGUACAUGCAUCCAUGUCUGUCAGAAAUAAGUUGAUGCUGCAGAUAGAGCUUCCAGCUUGACAGAUGUAACUGUUGAUACUUGAUAGUCUGGUCCGGUCUAUCAACGUGGCCGAUGGUGUGAAAGCCAGAUUUUUCACCAAUAUCCUGGCACUUGUGGAAUCUGCGGUAGAGAAGGUCAUUGCAUUUAGUCAGUACAUUACUUCCCAUGAAUUUUUUGGAAAGUCUAUUGGUUAAGACAAGGGGCUGGCAAGUAGGAGAGUUCUUUGUGAUCCGUGGUGAUAAUAAAUCUACUUCAGAAGAUAGAGAACUGAUCAGUUUAACAACUCUAUUGAUGCAAAAGUCCUGUUUGGCUCUACCAAGGCAUGUAGGGAGGGCAUCUCCCUAGUGGGCGCAUCAAGAGUCUUCAUUCUAGAUGUUCACUUGAACCCCUCUGUUGCCCGUCAGGCAAUUGAGCGGGCGUACUGGCCUGGGCAGCAAAAGGAAGUGUUGGCUCGCAGCAGCUGAUUCUCUGGAAAACACCUAUGAAACUGCACUCAAGAAGGAGGUGAUACCAAAGCUGUGGUUUGAAUGGAGUGAGCAGCGCUGCACGUCGGAGGACUUCCAGCUGAACGAAGUUGGUAUCGAUGACAGUGGGGAUGAGCUGCUGGACAACAGGCUGAUAUGCUAGGACAUCAAGGCUUUUUAUAUGCAAGGUGAAGGUUCUGUGAAGGCUGGUCAAAGAGGAUAUAAUAGUAGACACCUAAUAGCUUAUGCUGUCUUAGAAACUCCUGCCUCGGUGAUUUCUGCCAUGAAGUCUCUGCAAGGUUAUUUGUUUGACAUACAUGACAAAUACUCGCUCAAAUUGGACCUUCAAUUAUUUGCUGGUCCGAGGUCAACUGAUGCAUCUUUGUGGGUUUUGGUUUCUUCAAUAUCAAUCUAAAACCUUCAAUUUGCAACUGCUUCCUUUGCUUUUGUUUCCUCAUGAACGAGAAUGGACAACUUGAUUGUUUCUUGGGCCUUACCUGAUAUGAUAUGAUGAGCCUAUAUUAGAAUUGGAAUUGGUAUUAUAAGUUGCAUGUUGUAUGAGAUACUCGAGUUUGUUAUUUCAUAUUGUAACUUAUCAUGUA